GAUGAACGCUGGCGGCGUGCCUAAUACAUGCAAGUCGAGCGAACGGACGAGAAGCUUGCUUCUCUGAUGUUAGCGGCGGACGGGUGAGUAACACGUGGAUAACCUACCUAUAAGACUGGGAUAACUUCGGGAAACCGGAGCUAAUACCGGAUAAUAUUUUGAACCGCAUGGUUCAAAAGUGAAAGACGGUCUUGCUGUCACUUAUAGAUGGAUCCGCGCUGCAUUAGCUAGUUGGUAAGGUAACGGCUUACCAAGGCAACGAUGCAUAGCCGACCUGAGAGGGUGAUCGGCCACACUGGAACUGAGACACGGUCCAGACUCCUGCGGGAGGCAGCAGUAGGGAAUCUUCCGCAAUGGGCGAAAGCCUGACGGAGCAACGCCGCGUGAGUGAUGAAGGUCUUCGGAUCGUAAAACUCUGUUAUUAGGGAAGAACAUAUGUGUAAGUAACUGUGCACAUCUUGACGGUACCUAAGCAGAAAGCCACGGCUAACUACGU
rnacentral:rRNA from 1 species